AUUGAACGCUGGCGGCAUUCUUUACACAUGCAAGUCGGACGAGUGGCGAACGGGUGAGUAACAUAUCGGAACGUACCGAGUAAUGGGGGAUAACUAAUCGAAAGAUUAGCUAAUACCGCAUAUUAUUCGAGCGGCCGAUAUCUGAUUAGCUGGUUGGUGGGGUAAAGGCCAACCAAGGCGACGAUCAGUAGCGGGUCUGAGAGGCUGAUCGGCCACACUGGGACUGAGACACGGCCCAGACUCAAACGGAAGGCAGAAGUGGGAAAUUUUGGACAAUGGGCGCAAGCCUGAUCCAGCCAUGCCGCGUGUAUGAAGAAGACCUUCAGGUUGUAAGGGACUAUUAUCAGGGAAGCGGGAAAAGAAGAAUAAGCACCGGCUAACUACGUGCCAGCAGCCGCGGUAAUAC
rnacentral:rRNA from 1 species